AUUGAACGCUAGCGGGAGGCUUUACACAUGCAAGUCGAACGAGUGGCGGACGGGUGAGUAAUAUAUCGGAAGUGCCCCGUAGAGGGGGAUAACUAAUGGAAACAGUGGCUAAUACCGCAUACCAUAGGAUGGCCCAUAGGGGAUUAGCUAGUGGGUGGGGUAAGGGCUCACCUAGGCGACGAUCCCUAGCUGGUCUGAGAGGAUGACCAGCCACACGGGGACGGAGACCCGGCCCAGACUCCUACGGAGGCAGCAGUGGGGAAUAUUGCACAAUGGGCGCAAGCCUGAUGCAGCCAUGCCGCGUGUAUGAAGAAGGCCCUAGGGUUGUAAAGUACUUUCAGUCGGGAGGCGUUACCGACAGAAGAAGCACCGGCUAACUCCGUGCCAGCCGCCGCGGUAAUAC
rnacentral:rRNA from 1 species